rnacentral:rRNA from 1 species
ACAGAGGGUGCAAGCGUUAAUCGGAAUUACUGGGCGUAAAGCGUGCGUAGACGGUUCUGUAAGUUGGAUGUGAAAUCCCCGGGCUCAACCUGGGAAUUGCAUUCGAAACUGCUGAGCUAGGGUGCGGUAGAGGGAAGCGGAAUUUCCGGUGUAGCGGUGAAAUUCGUAGAUAUCGGAAGGAACAUCAGUGGCGAAAGCGGCUUCCUGGACCAGCACCGACGUUCAGGCACGAAAGCGUGGGGAGCAAACAGGAUUAGAUACCCUGGUAGUCCACGCCAUAAACGAUGAGGACUAGACGUUGGGGGCUAUAAGCUCUCAGUGUCGUAGCUAACGCGCUAAGUCCUCCGCCUGGGGAGUACGGCCGCAAGGUUG